ACGCUGGCGGUAGGCUUAACACAUGCAAGUCGUGCGAGAAAGUAUCUUCGGAUAUGAGUAGAGCGGCGGACGGGUGAGUAACGCGUAGGAAUCUACCUAGUAGAAGGGGAUAGCCCGGGGAAACUCGGAUUAAUACCGUAUACCUCCUUUGGGAGAAAGAAGGCCUCUCUUUGAAGCUUUCGCUAUUAGAUGAGCCUGCGUAAGAUUAGCUUGUUGGUGAGGUAAAGGCUCACCAAGGCGACGAUCUUUAGCGGGUCUGAGAGGACGAUCCGCCACAUUGGGACUGAGACACGGCCCAGACUCCUACGGGAGGCAGCAGUGGGGAAUAUUGGACAAUGGGCGCAAGCCUGAUCCAGCCAUACCGCGUGUGUGAAGAAGGCCCUAGGGUUGUAAAGCACUUUAAGUUGGGAAGAAAAGUUAUUGGUUAAUACCCAAUGACCGUGACAUUACCUUCAGAAUAAGGACCGGCUAAUUCCGUGCCAGCAGCCGCGGUAAUACGGAAGGUCCAAGCGUUAAUCGGAAUUACUGGGCGUAAAGCGCGCGUAGGUGGUUUAUUAAGUUGGAUGUGAAAUCCCCGGGCUCAACCUGGGAACUGCAUCCAAAACUGAUUCACUAGAGUACGAUAGAGGGAGGUAGAAUUCACAGUGUAGCGGUGGAAUGCGUAGAUAUUGUGAAGAAUACCAAUGGCGAAGGCAGCCUCCUGGAUCUGUACUGACACUGAGGUGCGAAAGCGUGGGUAGCGAACAGGAUUAGAUACCCUGGUAGUCCACGCCGUAAACGAUGUCAACUAGCUGUUGGAAAACUAUGUUUUUCAGUGGCGCAGCUAACGUAGUAAGUUGACCGCCUGGGGAGUACGGCCGCA
rnacentral:rRNA from 1 species